rnacentral:rRNA from 1 species
UGAGUAACACGUAUCCAACCUGCCGUCUACUCUUGGACAGCCUUCUGAAAGGAAGAUUAAUACAAGAUGGCAUCAUGAGUCCACAUGUUCACAUGAUUAAAGGUAUUCCGGUAGACGAUGGGGAUGCGUUCCAUUAGAUAGUAGGCGGGUAACGGCCCACCUAGUCUUCGAUGGAUAGGGGUUCUGAGAGGAAGGUCCCCCACAUUGGAACUGAGACACGGUCCAA